UACGUAGGGUGCGAGCGUUAAUCGGAAUUACUGGGCGUAAAGCGUGCGCAGGCGGUUCGUUAAGUCCGAUGUGAAAGCCCUGGGCUCAACCUGGGAAUGGCAUUGGAUACUGGCGGGCUAGAGUGCGGUAGAGGGCAGUGGAAUUCCCGGUGUAGCAGUGAAAUGCGUAGAGAUCGGGAGGAACAUCUGUGGCGAAGGCGACUGCCUGGACCAGCACUGACACUGAGGCACGAAAGCGUGGGGAGCAAACAGGA
rnacentral:rRNA from 1 species